GACAGAGGUGCCGAGCGUUAGGCGGAAUCACUGGGCUUAAAGCGUGUGUAGGCGGAUCUGUAAGUACCUUGUGAAAUCCCACGGCUCACCCGUGGAACUGCUGGGCAUACUGGCGAUCUUGGGCCAACUAGGGGCAACUGGAACAAGCGGUGGAGCGGUGAAAUGCGUAGAUAUCGCUUGGAACGCCAAAGGUGAAAACAGGUUGCUGGGGUUGUGCCGACGCUGAGACACGAAAGCCAGGGGAGCAAACGGG
rnacentral:rRNA from 1 species